rnacentral:misc_RNA from 1 species
UCCGGUUUGACACCGGCAGUCUCGUUAGAGUCCUGGCUUGCGCCUUAGCAACUAACGAUAGGGGUUUCGCUCGUUAAGGGACUUAACCCGACACUUCACAGCACGAGCUGACGACAGCCAUGCAGCACCUGUGCAUGUUCCACUCUUGCGAGCGUUACUCCUGUUUCCAGGAGCUAAUCCAUGCAUGUCAAGCCUUGGAUAAGGUUCUUCGCGUUGCUUCGAAUUGAGCCACAUGCUCCACCGCUUGUGUGAGCCCCCGUCAAUUCCUUUGAGUUUUAGCCUUGCGACCGUACUCCCCAGGCGGUGCACUUAACACUUUUGCUUCGACCACGAUGGCGUCAGAGCCUCCGCGAUCUAGUGCACAUCGUUUAGGGCGUGGACUAC